ensembl:lncRNA
GUGCUUCCUGAGCAGCUGCUGGAAAGAGCUGACUCUGCCCUGCUGCUCUGCUCUAUGUGCCAUCCCAGUACCUGUUCCUUUGAUCGGAGUGACCCAGCAAUUGCCCCAGCCUCGAGCAGUGGCACUGGAUCCACAUGGCCUUAAUGGUGUGCUGUACUUAACAGCAGUUUCUCUAAGGUGGGAAAGGAAGCUGAGGAGUGUCGGGUCUGUGUACAAGAGAAGCUGCAAGAUUUUGUGUGCUUUCAGUGCUGCUGGCAGGAGGAAGAUGUGUGCUAAGAGCUCUCCAGAUGGCCUUAUGAGAUGAUGCAUGUUUGAAGUGCUUUAAAUAGACUUGCAAACUAUACAGAGAAGGAGAAGGAAGGCUCCCUUGCUUGCAAAACUCCAUAUAUUACUGCUGAUCUUUCUUUUUGCUAGGGAGCAGCCUUGGACAAUUCAGCAUGACUUCUAUAGGAAGAGACCUCUGAAGGACAUGGGGUGCAAUCCCCUGCUCAAAGGAGAGUCAUGUAGCUGGUUUCACAAGGCCAUGUGCAGCUGGGUUUUAACUGUCUUCAAACAUGGAGAUUCCACAACCUUUUGGGACAACCUCUUCAAUAUUUGGUUAUGGUAAAAAUAUGUUCUUCACAUCAAGUUGGACUUUCUUUUGUUCCACAUUGAGUUUGUUGUCUUUUCUUCUAUCCAUGUGUGUAUCUGAGAAAGGUCAGACUCCAUCUACUCCAUGUGGUCCUUUUCAGUAGGUACAGACAGCAAUAAUGUCUCAACAUAGAACUAAAAUAGCUCUUUUAAAACAGCUUCCUUGCAUAUGUGAUAUUUUCCAGUCUCUCAACCAUCUUCGGCCCCAGAUUAACUUGUCCCAGUACAUUAUUGUCUUUUUUUUUACUGAGAAACCCAAAGCCAUCAAUAGUCCCUAAGGUGCAAAUCUCUGGUGCAGAGAUAAAUAACUAUCUGAAUUCCAGUAGUGUAAAAAGCUGUUUUAUUAUGUGAUAAUAAUUAUUAUGUUGUGUUUGAUGAUGUAAAUGUGCCAUAUAGGGAUCCCCUUCCAUCUAAUGCAUCACAAGUCCCACAGUGUUUUCUGAUCAUUGGUGUGCUCAGUCAAGUGUAGCUGUUGUCCUUGUGGAGCAUAUUUGACUAGAUACAUUAGGAGGAAGAAAGCUCUGUAGCUCUUGAAGAUGAAUGUUUAUGCUAUUGUAUUGACAUUGACAGAACUACGGCAAAGAAAGAACGUGAAAAUCAUCAAAGUAUUUGGAAAAAGACCAUCUUGAAAAAAGGUCUGUCUUUAAAAGUGACAGUGCAUGUCUGUUCACCAAAAAAAAAAAAAAAAAAAGGCUCUUUGGAGAUCUGUCUAACUAAAAAGAAAAUACAUUGAAAAUGGUUUUGUCUAGCACAAAAGAAAGUAUAUAUAUAUAUUUGGAUUCUCAGUAUGUGCAGG